rnacentral:rRNA from 1 species
CAGCAGCCACGGGAAUACGUAGGUGGCAAGCGUUGUCCGGAAUGAUUGGGCGUAAAGGGCGCGCAGGCGACUGUGUAAGUCUGUCUAGAAAGUGCGGGGCUAAACCCCGUGAGAGGAUGGAAACUGGACAGCUGAGAGUGUCGGAGAGGAAAGCGGAAUUCCUAGUGUAGCGGUGAAAUGCGUAGAUAUUAGGAGGAACACCGGUGGCGAAAGCGGCUUUCUGGACGACAACUGACGCUGAGGCGCGAAAGCCAGGGGAGCAAACGGGAUUAGAGACCCCGGUAGUCCCUGUCUCUUAUAC